rnacentral:rRNA from 1 species
UACGAAGGGGGCUAGCGUUGCUCGGAAUCACUGGGCGUAAAGCGCACGUAGGCGGAUUGCUAAGUCAGGGGUGAAAUCCUGGAGCUCAACUCCAGAACUGCCUUUGAUACUGGCGACCUUGAGUCCGGGAGAGGUGAGUGGAACUGCGAGUGUAGAGGUGAAAUUCGUAGAUAUUCGCAAGAACACCAGUGGCGAAGGCGGCUCACUGGCCCGGUACUGACGCUGAGGUGCGAAAGCGUGGGAGCAACAGG